rnacentral:rRNA from 1 species
UACGAAGGGGGCUAGCGUUGCUCGGAAUCACUGGGCGUAAAGCGCACGUAGGCGGAUUGCUAAGUCAGGGGUGAAAUCCUGGGAGCUCAACUCCAGAACUGCCUUUGAUACUGGCGACCUUGAGUCCCGGAGAGGAGAGUGGAAUUCCUGGUGUAGCGGUGAAAUGCGUAGAUAUCAGGAGGAACACCGGUGGCGAAGGCGGCUCUCUGGACGGUGACUGGACGCUGAGACGCGAAAGCGUGGGGAGCAAACAGG